UACGUAGGGUGCAAGCGUUGUCCGGAAUUAUUGGGCGUAAAGAGCUCGUAGGCGGUUUGUUGCGUCGGCUGUGAAAUCCCGAGGCUCAACCUCGGGUCUGCAGUCGAUACGAGCAAACUAGAGUGUUGCAGGGGAGACUGGAAUUCCUGGUGUAGCGGUGAAAUGCGCAGAUAUCAGGAGGAACACCGGUGGCGAAGGCGGGUCUCUGGGCAACAACUGACGCUGAGGAGCGCAAGCGUGGGGAGCGAACAGG
rnacentral:rRNA from 1 species